rnacentral:rRNA from 1 species
CCUACGGGUGGCUGCAGUGAGGAAUAUUGGACAAUGGGGGCAACCCUGAUCCAGCCAUGCCGCGUGUGUGAAGAAGGCCCUCGGGUUGUAAAGCACUUUCAGUGAGGAAGAACGCCUGGUGGUUAAUACCCAUCAGGAAAGACAUCACUCACAGAAGAAGCACCGGCUAACUCCGUGCCAGCAGCCGCGGUAAUACGGAGGGUGCGAGCGUUAAUCGGAAUUACUGGGCGUAAAGCGCGCGUAGGUGGCUUGAUAAGCCGGUUGUGAAAGCCCCGGGCUCAACCUGGGAACGGCAUCCGGAACUGUCAAGCUAGAGUGCAGGAGAGGAAGGUAGAAUUCCCGGUGUAGCGGUGAAAUGCGUAGAGAUCGGGAGGAAUACCAGUGGCGAAGGCGGCCUUCUGGACUGACACUGACACUGAGGUGCGAAAGCGUGGGUAGCAAACAGGAUUAGAUACCCCAGUAGUC